GAUGAACGCUGGCGGCGUGCCUAAUACAUGCAAGUCGAGCGAACAGAUGAGGAGCUUGCUCCUCUGACGUUAGCGGCGGACGGGUGAGUAACACGUGGAUAACCUACCUAUAAGACUGGGAUAACUUCGGGAAACCGGAGCUAAUACCGGAUAAUAUAUUGAACCGCAUGGUUCAAUAGUGAAAGACGGUUUUGCUGUCACUUAUAGAUGGAUCCGCGCCGCAUUAGCUAGUUGGUAAGUUAACGGCCUACCAAGGCAACGAUGCGUAGCCGACCUGAGAGGGGGGUAGGCCACACUGGAAGUGGGACAGGGUCAAGAGGCCUAAGGGAGGGAGCAGUCGGGAAUGGUCCGCAAUAGGCGAAAGCCUGACGGAGCAAGGCGACGUGAGUGAUGGAGGUGUUGGGAUCGUAAAACUCUGUUAUUAGGGAAGAACAAAUGUGUAAGUAACUAUGCACGUAUUGACGGUACCUAAUAAGAAAGCAACGGCUAACUACGUG
rnacentral:rRNA from 1 species